GACGAACGCUGGCGGCGCGCCUAACAUAUGCAAGUCGAACGGAGUCAAGAGGAGCUUGCUUUUCUUGACUUAGUGGCGAACGGGUGAGUAACGCGUGAGUAACCUGCCCUGGAGUGGGGGACAACAGUUGGAAACGACUGCUAAUACCGCAUAAGCCCACGGAUCUGCAUGGAUCUGCGGGAAAAGGAUUUAUUCGCUCUAGGAUGGACUCGCGUCCAAUUAGCUAGUUGGUGAGGUAACGGCCCACCAAGGCGACGAUUGGUAGCCGGACUGAGAGGUUGAACGGCCACAUUGGGACUGAGACACGGCCCAGACUCCUACGGGAGGCAGCAGUGGGGGAUAUUGCACAAUGGGGGAAACCCUGAUGCAGCGACGCCGCGUGGAGGAAGAAGGUUUUCGGAUUGUAAACUCCUGUCGUUAGGGACGAUAAUGACGGUACCUAACAAGAAAGCACCAGCUAACUACGUG
rnacentral:rRNA from 1 species